rnacentral:rRNA from 1 species
UACGUAGGGUGCGAGCGUUGUCCGGAAUUACUGGGCGUAAAGAGCUCGUAGGUGGUUUGUCGCGUUGUUCGUGAAAACCGGAGGCUUAACCUUCGGCGUGCGGGCGAUACGGGCAGACUGGAGUACUGCAGGGGAGACUGGAAUUCCUGGUGUAGCGGUGGAAUGCGCAGAUAUCAGGAGGAACACCGGUGGCGAAGGCGGGUCUCUGGGCCGAGUACUGACGCUGAGGAGCGAAAGCGUGGGGAGCGAACAGG